rnacentral:rRNA from 1 species
UACGUAGGUGACAAGCGUUGUCCGGAUUUACUGGGCGUAAAGAGCGCGCAGGCGGUCGUUCAAGUCGAGUGUGAAAGCUCCCGGCUUAACUGGGAGAGGUCAACGGAAACUACCGGACUUGAGUAUGGGAGAGGGUUCUGGAAUUCCCGGUGUAGCGGUGAAAUGCGCAGAUAUCGGGAGGAACACCAAUGGCGAAAGCAGGAGCCUGGACCAUUACUGACACUCAGCUGCGAAAGCUAGGGGAGCAAACAGG